rnacentral:tRNA from 1 species
GGAUUGUGGCUCAGUGGCAGAGCACUUGCCUAGUGUGUGUGAGGCACUGGGUUUGAUUCUCAGCACCA